CGGCACGGGUGAGUAACACGUAUGCAACCUGCCUGCCACAGCCGGAUAAUCGGGAGAAAUUCCGUCUAAUACGGCAUAAUGCAUCGACGGGACAUCCUGUUGGUGCCAAAGGUUAAUUCCGGUGGCGGAUGGGCAUGCGUCGCAUUAGUUAGUUGGCGGUGUAACGGACCGCCAAGACGACGAUGCGUAGGGGUUCUGAGAGGAAGGUCCCCCACACUGGUACUGAGACACGGACCAGACUCCUACGGAAGGCAGCAG
rnacentral:rRNA from 1 species